GACAGAGGGUGCAAACGUUGUUCGGGAUUACUGGGCGUAAAGCGUGUGUAGGCGGCCACGUAAGUCGGAUGUGAAAGCCCCGGGCUCAACCCGGGAAGUGCACUCGAUACUGCGUGGCUUGAGUACUGGAGAGGUUGGUGGAAUUCUCGGUGUAGAGGUGAAAUUCGUAGAUAUCGAGAGGAACACCGGUGGCGAAGGCGGCCAACUGGACAGAUACUGACGCUGAGACACGAAAGCGUGGGGAGCAAACAGG
rnacentral:rRNA from 1 species